rnacentral:lncRNA from 1 species
AUUUAUUACUGUAAUCUAGAUUUGAAGCAUUGUCUUGUGAUCAAAAUUUAAUAAGAAAAAUGUUUGUUAUCAGAAUACCAAAAACAAACUUUAAUUUUCGGAAUGUUUGUUUGUUUUCAGGUUUCAUGAAUUGAAAAUAUGAAAUGCCAGUAUUAAGAUUGUUGGUCAGUAUUGUGAGUCCUAAUAUAAUGUCUGGUCAAACCCCAUCCUCCACAAUCCAACUUCUUCACAGGGAUGAGUUUUGAAAAAGCUUGUUUUGCCCUGUCACCUAGCAUAUUAUCUGAAUGGAAAAUGCAUAAUUAUGUGGCACUAACAUUGGAAUUUGGAUAUAUAUGUGCACUAAGCAUGGACAAUGAUAAAUUUUUAAAUAAACAUCAGCUUCCAAUGAGAGCCACACUGGUUUUUUUGGUUAAUCUUAAUAAUGGUUUCAAAAAUUGUAUGUUAUAUAUUUCACAUGCAUUUAUUUCGAAUACAUA